GGAAUGAUGCCCUUGACAGGAUUGAGUAUGUAAAGGGGCAGCUGACAUCAGUGUUUGGGCGUGUGCUCAAAGUGGUCUAGUCUCUUGUUUCCCAUCCUGGAGGAAGAACAGGAAAGCCGGUCUAGUCUCUUGUUUCCCAUCCCGGAGGAAGAACAGGAAAGCCGGUCUAGUCUCUUGUUUCCCAUCCCGGAGGAAGAACAGGAAAGCCGGUCUAGUCUCCCAGAGGAAGAACAGGAAAGCUGGUCUAGUCUCUUGUCAAGUGUGGACUGGAGGGGAUUCCAGGUUGGGACAAGGUGGACAGGCUGACGAAUCACCUUCUCAACUUCACAGAGAUGUCUCUCACCCCUGAUGAUGUAAUGAUGUGCAUCAUGUUGUAUGAUGACCUGGAUGAUUAUGAUAAACAAAGGACUCCUCGGCCAUACAUAGAACAACAGUCUGCCCUGUCUGGAAGAUUCAAAAAGGGGAAGUCCAAAUCCACUGUGUCUCCAGAUGUGGAGAGAACAAGAAGAAGUUUUCUGGGUGCAGGGGUACCUGCGGCUUCUCCUGCC